rnacentral:misc_RNA from 1 species
GAUGAAGAACGUAGCGAAAUGCGAUAAGUAAUGCGAAUUGCAGAAUUCAGUGAGUCAUCGAAUCUUUGAACGCACAUUGCGCCCUGUGGUAUUCCGCAGGGCAUGCCUGUUCGAGCGUCAUUUCAACCCUCAAGCCCCGCUUGGUGUUGGGCCCCGCCCGCUGUGGCCGGCCCUAAAGACAGUGGCGGCGCCGCCUGGCCCUCAGCGUAGUACAUCUCUAGCUCCAGGGUCCGGUGGCCGCCUGCCAGAACCCCCCAACUCUGUGGUUGACCUCGGAUCAGGUAGGGAUACCCGCUGAACUUAAGCAUAUCAAUAAGCGGAGGA